rnacentral:rRNA from 1 species
GCUUUAGGGCUAGCCUCAAGUGAUGAUUAUUGGAGGUAGAGCACUGUUUGGACGAGGGGCCCCUCUCGGGUUACCGAAUUCAGACAAACUCCGAAUGCCAAUUAAUUUAACUUGGGAGUCAGAACAUGGGUGAUAAGGUCCGUGUUCGAAAGGGAAACAGCCCAGACCACCAGCUAAGGUCCCAAAAUAUAUGUUAAGUGGAAAAGGAUGUGGCGUUGCCCAGACAACUAGGAUGUUGGCUUAGAAGCAGCCAUCAUUUAAAGAGUGCGUAAUAGCUCACUAGUCGAGUGACACUGCGCCGAAAAUGUACCGGGGCUAAACAUAUUACCGAAGCUGUGGAUUGUCCUUUGGACAAUGGUAGGAGAGCGUUCUAAGGGCGUUGAAGCAUGAUCGUAAGGACAUGUGGAGCGCUUAGAAGUGAGAAUGCCGGUGUGAGUAGCGAAAGACGGGUGAGAAUCCCGUCCACCGAUUGACUAAGGUUUCCAGAGGAAGGCUCGUCCGCUCUGGGUUAGUCGGGUCCUAAGCUGAGGCCGACAGGCGUAGGCGAUGGAUAACAGGUUGAUAUUCCUGUACCACCUAUAAUCGUUUUAAUCGAUGGGGGGACGCAGUAGGAUAGGCGAAGCGUGCGAUUGGAUUGCACGUCUAAGCAGUAAGGCUGAGUAUUAGGCAAAUCCGGUACUCGUUAAGGCUGAGCUGUGAUGGGGAGAAGACAUUGUGUCUUCGAGUCGUUGAUUUCACACUGCCGAGAAAAGCCUCUAGAUAGAAAAUAGGUGCCCGUACCGCAAACCGACACAGGUAGUCAAGAUGAGAAUUCUAAGGUGAGCGAGCGAACUCUCGUUAAGGAACUCGGCAAAAUGACCCCGUAACUUCGGGAGAAGGGGUGCUCUUUAGGGUUAACGCCCAGAAGAGCCGCAGUGAAUAGGCCCAAGCGACUGUUUAUCAAAAACACAGGUCUCUGCUAAACCGUAAGGUGAUGUAUAGGGGCUGACGCCUGCCCGGUGCUGGAAGGUUAAGAGGAGUGGUUAGCUUCUGCGAAGCUACGAAUCGAAGCCCCAGUAAACGGCGGCCGUAACUAUAACGGUCCUAAGGUAGCGAAAUUCCUUGUCGGGUAAGUUCCGACCCGCACGAAAGGCGUAACGAUUUGGGCACUGUCUCAACGAGAGACUCGGUGAAAUCAUAGUACCUGUGAAGAUGCAGGUUACCCGCGACAGGACGGAAAGACCCCGUGGAGCUUUACUGUAGCCUGAUAUUGAAAUUCGGCACAGCUUGUACAGGAUAGGUAGGAGCCUUUGAAACGUGAGCGCUAGCUUACGUGGAGGCGCUGGUGGGAUACUACCC